rnacentral:lncRNA from 1 species
CUACCUCCCAGAGACCAGAGAAUGUACCGUCAGAUGCUACGCCUAGGCUGCUUGGCUCUCCGGCGUGGGUGACAGGAGUGGGCCCAGUGUGCUUGACGUGGUGGAGUCACCCAAGAUCCGGCAGGGUGGAGGUCAGGGAAUGAAAAUGAGGCCUUCGGGGCAGGUUCUCUCACUCUCCUGCCUCUCCCCCUGCCCUCUAGCCCCUGGGAGGCCUCAGCCACUUCACUCCACCAACGCCCCCUUCGUAAGAACCUUCCACCCAGUCCAACUCUGUUAUCUGUAACAGACUCCUAAAUAUGCCGCGUGCAUUCCACAUUUGGCUAAUGCCAUUCCCUUCAAUUUACCUUUACUUUCUCUACAAAUGUCUCAGACCCUGGCUGCUCUCCCAGGCUCAGAUCAAAUCCAUUCCACUUCCACAAAACUGUCUUGGUCUCCAGCCCCAUAAGCCCCUGAAAUCCCAAACAUUUACUAACCUGUUACAUUCCCCAGUUGGCCUUUAGGUAUUCUGCACUCCACAGCAGUCCUACAACAAUGCAGGUAUGCAUGCAUUCGCCCAUCCAUCCAUGCAUCCACCCAUCCAUGCAACUACUCACCCAUCCAUGCAUCCACUCAAUAAAUAUUAUCGAUCACCUGCCAUAUGCCGGGUACUGUCCCACCACUUCCCUUGUCCAUUCUCUUCCCAUCUCCAAGAUGACUAUUUCCCACCUCCUACUCUCCCUCAAACCUCUACCACUCACUCCCUCAGCAAUCUCACCCAGUCUCAUAGCAUUAGGUACCACCUUAGUCACUGAGACCCGCCCUGACCUCUCUCCUACACUCCAGGUUCCAACACCCAAUACCAUCUCCACUUGGGUGUCUAACGGGCAACUUAGUGUAGCCAAAUCAGAACUCCAGAUCCCACAAAAAACCCUAUGGCCCGCUUCUCCCAGUUUUUCCCAUCUCAGUAAAUGAUUCACCCAUCUGUGCAAGCCACAAACUUCGGAGUCAUCUUUGUCUCCUCUUCGUUUUGCUCCAUCCCGCCAUGUCCAUCCAGCAGCAGACUAUUGGCUCUACCUUCAAAACCUGCUGCCUCUCUGCCCUCCACACUACAGCGCUAGUCCAAGCCCCUGUGGUUCCAGUGGGACAAGACAGCCUCCAGUAGGUCGACCUGCUGCCACUCUUGGCUCUGUAUAUUCUUUGCACAACAGCCAGAGUGAUAGUUUUAAAACACAAGACCACGAGAGAACCCUCCAAAGGCCGCUGAACAUCCCCUAUUGGAUUUCCUGCUACGUCCUCAGGGCAUACAAGCCCUCCAUGAUCCGGCCUCUGCCCGACUUCACCUGUUGCCACUCGCCUCCACCCUCACUGGCUUGCUUGAAAAUUUGUCAAAUGCACCAACACAGGACCUCUGCCCUGGUGGCCCUUCUGCCUGAAAAGCCGCCGCUCCCCUCAAUGACUUACCCGCCUGCCUGGCACUCCUCUCCCUCCUACCCCUUCAGAGCACUUAUCACAACCUAACAUUGCUUUAAAUAUUUAUUUUGUUCAUUUUUCACCUGUUUCCUCCAUCAGAAGAUCAACUCCACAAAAGCAAGGAUUUGGCUAUUUGGUUUGAUGCUGUAUUCCCAAUGCUAAAAUAAUGCAGAGACAGGGUCGGGCCCAGUGGCUGAGUGGUUAAGUUCACGCACUCCACUUCGGCGGCUUAGGGUUUGCCAGUUCAGAUCCCGGGUGUGGAGCUAUACGCCACUCAUCAAGUCAUGCUAUGGCAGCAUCCCACAUACGAAGCGGAGGAGGAUUGGCACAGAUGUUAGCUCAGGGCCAAUCUUCCUCUCCAAAAUAAUAAUAACAAUAAUGCUGGUACAUAGCAAGGACUUGAUAAAUAUCUACUGAAUGAAUGAAUGAGUCCUGCCUAGUUGUUUCCUUACUAGAUAUGUCUGAUCUCCCCUCACCUGAGGUUGAGCAGCCUAUGACCAGGGGCAGCAUCGUGUUCAUCCUUUCACCUUCCUACGCCUCCUGGCCCGGGAGCCAGUUACAAGAGCAGGUACAGGCCUGGGAAUGACAAUCAGGCUGCACGAUCAAUGGGAAGUGCUGCCUGGCAUGAUGUGACGAGAAGGACCCGGAGGCCAGUCUAGGUAUAGCAUUAUCGAUUUCUGAUGUGGGCCAAGGGCCGGAGGUGGGAAAUAAAAGUGCAGUCUUUGGGGCUGCCAAGCCUGUUAACCCGGGGAUCCUUGAGGCUGGAGAGAAAGCUGAAUUGGCAGGGAAGGGCAGGCCAGUCCUGGCCAGUCCUCAGGUUUGGGAAGCUAAGGAGAUAGGCCACUAACCCACAGGGCAGCAGAUGCCAGUGGGCCCCAGGAUACCAGGUGAUGCUGCCCCAUCAGCCCUCCGCCCCUGGAGAGACCCUCAAGCCCACCAUCUCGGCCAUUACUCCACAGCACUUGUGGCUCAUGCAAGACACAGAAGCUGAGGGGAGCAGCCACUGAGCUAAAUGUCUCUCAGACCUGGGGACAGAGGCAGAAAUGGCCCCACAUAACUUAGAGUGGGCCACUUUGGCCUUUUGAUGUGACUCUUGGCAUCUGAUAAGAGUUCCACAGACACUUAUCCAGGAGGUCUAGCCACUCCUUCCUGCAGGAGACCAGCCUGGAUGUAACAGGAGGGGCAGGCCCUGGGGUGUUCUGCACAGCCAUGCUAUCCCCUUGCUCCCAGCCCCCCACCAGGCACAGAAACAGUCAAGCUGCUGGGGCACAUGCCCUACAUCCCCCUAACCUGGGGCCACCACACUGCCACCUGCUCCUCCCUGCCAGCAGGGUGAACUCCCAGAAGGCCCUCCCUUGCAGUCUCCAUCCUGGCCUGCAGCUCCCUGGCUGGACAGUGCUCCGGCCAGCAGGGGGGCUCGUGGUCACUUGGGGACAGGAAGGCUGAAACCCCUUUUCCUGUUCUUCUCUUUCAAAGUUGGCAGACCUGACCUCUUUCAUAACAUUAUUUUAGUGACCGAAGCACUUUUGCAUCUGAGAUUUUCCGCAACCACUUUGUGGAGCUGGUCUCAAUGGCCCCACUUUCAGGAAAUGGAGGUAUUUGCUCCCUUCUCGCAGUGUAAGCAGCGGCAGGAAAGCCAAAGGCCCCGUUUCCACGCCCAGAGGAGCGAGCCCUCCCGCACCCACGACAGAGCUAGGAAGAAAGAACCAGCCAUGCAAAAGCCAAAAAAGGAACCCUUUCUCUCUCCAGAGAUUAUGAAAUCAAAGAGCAUUUUGUUGCUUCUUGGAAAUUACUCUCCUUAUGACUUGGAGGCCACACAAUUCAACAGGGCUUCCAUCAUCAUCAUCAUCAUCAUUAUUAAAACAUUUGGUUUAGUUCUCGCCUCCUUUUCGAACUUUCACACAGAGAACACAAGCGUUUACCUGCGCUCACCCAGGACCGGACGAGCAGGUCGCGCGGGCUUCCAGCCCCCUCCUUCCCGGGGCUUGGCUGCAAGACUCCCGCAACAUCUCGAAAUCCCCCCAGAUCUGCGCGGUCACUGUGGGAAGGAGGCCGGCUCUGACAAGCCCAGGCAAGCCCAGGCAGAGCCCGCUUCUGGUCCUCCCUCCUGCGCUCACCACCCGGGCCCGGGGAGGGAGAAGCCUCUCGCCCGCCCAGAUCCGGGGAGUCAGCUCGCACCCGGGACGGGGCGCCGGCAUCUCCUCCACCAGAAAAGAAAAAGGGCCAGGUGGGGAAAAGAGGAGCGGGUGGGGGCGGCGCCAGCUCGCGCGGGAUUGGGGUGGCGGCGCAGCGGGCGCCGGGCUCACGUCGGGGGAUGGGGUGUGCUCACUGCCGGAGGCCAGGGCCGCCGCGUCGGGGCGCGCUGCAGGGCAAUGGCGCGCGCCUGGCCGUGGAGCAGGUUUCCCGGGCACAGGGUCCGGGCCCCGUGCCCCUCCACCGCCGCCGCCUGCCCGGGCUGGCGCUUCCCUGGCCAGAGCGCCGACUUUGCGCAGCGCCCCUCGCCUCCGCCCCCCGCCGAGUCCCGGGGCGCGCCUCCCAGAGCCGAUGUCCGGGGCUCCACGGCCAUCGCGACUCUUGCGCAGGCUCCUCGCCUGUCCGCGGCGGGACCGAAGCCCAGGCGGGCCGAGGGGGUCCUGUAAGAAAACAAACGGAAUCCACGGGGACGCUCGCCGCGACGCCCAGCCCCCGGGCCUCUCCCCGGGAACAGGGAAGAAGAAACCUGCGUCCCGGGCGCGGGUGACGGACGUGUCCCGGGUCUGGACCUGUCGUCUCCACGACAUUGUCAGCCUGGAGAGCUCAAAGGUCCCACGCAGCCCCAGAUUCAAGGAGAUGAGAAAGGACUUCUAGUGCCAGAAACGGGCACCCCACGCGGCCACCGCCUGCCGGCCCGGCGCCCCGCCCCCACUCACCGCGCCCCCAAGUUCCGGCGCUGCGGGCCGCUGGGGUGACACCGUUCCGUGCGGCCCGGGGCGCAGGAGCAGGCGUGGGGCACGGCCGAGGCGCGGCGCUGGGGAGCCGGGUGCUCCAGGCGGGGUCCGUGAGCUGGGCAGGGCCCUGGCGAAGCGCCCCGCACCCGCCUAAAGGUUCCCGGAAACAAAAACGCGGACGCGGGUCCCAAACUUGAAGUCGCAGGAAGGCACCCGGCAGCGCGGGAGAUGCGCACCUCCCAUUUCUCGCCGUUUCCGCGCUACCGUGCGCGUGGAGCCGGGCGCCCUCGGGUUUGGUGGGGACGCACGUGCAGGGGCGGCCCUGCAGACCCCGCCCCCCGCCCCGCUGUGCGGAGAGGGGUCUCCAGCCGUCAUCCCGCCCCCAAGCAUCACAGAUCCCACCCAGUCCGACCUGGUCGGGACUUCGGGACCUUUGGGAGACAAACCACCACGCAGCCCGCAGCGCCCAGGUACGAUGGGGCAAGGAGUCCCCGGGUCUCCCUCUGCUCCAGGUGUUUGUGCCCUCGGGGUUGUUGUAGGACAGAAACCGCUUCAUCAGGAGCAGACCCUCCUCGCAGACGCACACCUACACACACUCGCGGGAGUCUGCGGGAUGCGCCGGCGACCCGGCAGGCACGGUCUCCUCCACACGGACAGAACUGAAGGGCGAAGGCCUCCUUGGCCUCAGGAGGCAAGGGCUCCCUGCAGGGAGAGCGGAAACUCAUUCGUCCUGCACUGAGAGAAAACGGUCCUGAGAGGAGGACUGGAAAGGGCUGUUGCCAGAUGUGUAAUCCCAUUUGGGCACACCGGAGGGAGCGAGUGGAGGCCAGGUGUGAGCUGCCGCAUCUGACACAUUAGGAUCCCGAAGCUCACAGGGAUGAAUCUGUGUGGAGCUCGUGUUUCCCAGACUUUUCCAGGGAUUCUAGAACAGUCCUAGAGAAGGAGAGAGCCAGCCGGCAGAGCCACCAAAAUGCCUUGACCUGGACAGCUAAAAAGAACCCAUCCAGCACGUGGACAUACAUACGCCCCUGACUCACAAGCCGGAGAGCAACGGAGGUAGCGUGGACAAGCCUCAACUUCUGCCCCCCGCGGGGCGCUGCACCUGCGUCCCCAGACCCAGCGGUGAAACAGGGCACCCAGGAGGCAUUCAGGUCUUAAUUUAACCACAGAGACCCGAGGAGUCCUGCUUCCCAGUCAACCUACCAAUGGAUCGCGUCCAAAAAUGUGAAUGACAAAAAGGAAAACAAUGUCCUGGGAUUAGAUCAUGGUGAUGGUUGCACAAUUUCGUGAAUAUAAUAAAUCCCACUGAAUUGUACACUUUUUAAUGGUAGAACUUAUGGCAUGUGAGUUAUAUCUCAGGAGAAAACAAACAAACAAAAAGGAGCCCCCAUUCCUCCUUACUGGCUAGACAUACUCGGCAUGAAGCCGGCAGGACGGAAAGCCCUGCACCUUGGUCAACGCUACCUCCCUCACUUAGAAGAUGGAAUCCUGGUUGUGGGUGACUCAGGAGGGUCAGCAUCCUAUGGCUGCAGUGGUUUUCGGCCAGGGCCCUGAGGCCAAAGCAGCCUGUCUCUUAGGCCCUUGAAGAUGGGACUGUAGCUACAGGGCCUCGGCCCAGACCCUGCAGAAGAAAGGGGUCUUGCGGGCUGGGGCUUUCUUCAUUGUGGCCCCAACAUCAGAGACUUACUCCGUGGGGUGAUGGUGUACGGGCCAGUGUGUAUUAUGUGGCAUGGGUGGGGGGGUGCUCCAGGGAGCCCACCUAGCACUGACAAAGCCCUGUGUUGGCAGGCGCAAUUUUCAAGGCCCCAUCUCUGAAGAAGGAAGCCCAGCUUGGUGAAGAAAUCACCACCGGAUUAAAAAUAACAAAUAAAUGUAAAGAGUCAAAAUGCUGUAUAAAGGGGAGAAUUGCUUUGAAGUAUUUCCUCAUUGCUAUGCUGACUAGACAUUUUAACUAAACAUAGCUUUAAGGUUCUGUUUAUUUUCCAGCUCCUAAAGUCACUCUUUGGCUCAUGCAUCA